rnacentral:lncRNA from 1 species
UCUAAUUCAAGAGGGCUUGUUAACUUUCAAUCCAACAAUCUGUCCAUUAAUAUGAAAGUAGACACAUUUUGUCUGGUAGUUGAUCUUGAUGAGCAUAAGCAAGCUGGCUAGGAUCACUGGUGUUCUCCCAGCAGUUGAAAACACUUUCUGUGCUGUGAAAGCUAGCCUGCAAGGAAGGGUUCUGCUGCCUCAGCUCCAGUUUGAUUAUUUAUAACAUGCGUAAACUUUAUGUGUACCUCACCAGUAAGGUCUUAUCAUUUAGUUUUUGUGUACAACCAAGAGUAUUGACAAGAGCCUGUAUUCUUUUACUGGUCUCCUCUGCUCCCUGACUAAAAUAGAAUGUAGGGAAAGGGAGAUCCCUGCUCAUUGCUGUUGGGAGUAAGAACACACAUACAGCUAGUCUCAAGAAGCUCUCAAUAGCAGUGUAGCUCAAUUAAACUAUUCUUAUGAAUAUAUUCAAAGGAUUCCUUAUCCUAAUUGUAGUCUCCCCUCCCCCAGCCUGAAACCUGCUUGCUCAGGGGUGGAGCUUCCUGCUCAUUCGUUCUGCCACGCCCACUGCUGGAACCUGCGGAGCCACACACGUGCACCUUUUUACUGGACCAGAGAUUAUUCGGCGGGAAUCGGGUCCCCUCCCGCUUCCUUCAUAACUAGUGUCGCAACAAUAAAAUUUGAGCCUUGAUCAGAGUAACUGUCUUGGCUACAUUCUUUUCUCUCGCCACCUAGCCCCUCUUCUCUUCCAGGUUUCCAAAAUGCCUUUCCAGGCUAGAACCCAGGUUGUGGUCUGCUGGCCAGACACAACACCUAAUAAAGGGAUACUGGCUCAUAUGUGUUCAGUUUUUAACAGAUUCAUUCAAUUUUUUUCUCCAUUAGCUAGGAAAUGAAAACAGCCUGGAAAUCCAUCAAUUUAUGAAAAGAUAAGUAAUAUGUGACACAUAUACAGAAUGGGAUUAUACAAAUCUGAAAAAUAAUCAAAUUGGAACUGAAGAGAGCUAGGCCUUUAAGAGCACUUGAUGUUAAUUGCAAAGGACCUGAGUUUGUUUCCUAGCACUCACAUUUGUUUUCUUAUACUACCUGUGAUUCCAGCUUCAAGGAAUCUGAUUUCUUUGGCCUCAGCAAAUUCUGUGUUUAAAUUCUCAGGUGCAAACACAUAAAUAAUAUUCUUUUAAAAAGAUGAAAAUUUCAGAUAAAUGACUGUAAUUGGAAAAAUAAAACUGAUUGCAAUAUUUCAGAGAAAGAAAUAUAAAUGCCACAUGUAGUCCCUCAUAAUAGAUCACAACCUCACAUCUCUGUUUUGUUGUUUUGUUUUGUUUUGUUUUUUUCUGUUAAACCUGUGAUAACUGUAGAAGUCAGGAAACAAGAAAGGAAGCAUUAGCAAGAUCAAAGGAAAUUAAGAGAGAUAUAGUGGGUAGGAGGUACAGUUAAUGAAAUGAAGUGCGUAUAUUAGAACUAUAAGGAAACCUAUUACCAAUUAAUAAAUUCAACUUAUUUGUAUAAAAUAGGGCUUGAAGGGACACGAAUCAGAUGUCUAAGAAAAUUCAUAUUUUUGAGAUGAUCUUAGGGGAAUAGGAAAAGUAAAACAGGAUAUAGUUGAUUGUCACUACAAAACUGUUGAUGUGUGGGCACGUGGAUUUUCACAUGUGGCUAUCCAUAAUAUCCAAGCAUUACAUAUAACUUCACAAAUCAGAAACUCAAUGUAAUAAAAGAAAGAAUCAGCUUAUGGAAAAGUGUUACAUUAGAGAUGGCUCAGGACUUCACCACAAUCUUUCCUUGUCUUGACUGUAUACACAUAGUCACCUUCAUCUAACUAGAAAUAAUUGAGAAUCAAUGCAAAGACUAAAACUUAAGUAUGAAGGAUUUCAUUAGCUGCUGCUAUUCAAAAAAUAUCACUAUUCUGCUUCAAGUAAGACACCAAUGUCUAUGUACAGAGGACAUGAAAUAAUCACAUUUUC